rnacentral:rRNA from 1 species
UACGAAGGGUGCAAGCGUUACUCGGAAUUACUGGGCGUAAAGCGUGCGUAGGUGGUUUUUUAAGUCCGUUGUGAAAGCCCUGGGCUCAACCUGGGAAUGGCAGUGGAUACUGGAAAGCUAGAGUGCGGUAGAGGGUAGUGGAAUUCCCGGUGUAGCAGUGAAAUGCGUAGAGAUCGGGAGGAACACCGGUGGCGAAGGCGGUUCUCUGGGCCUGUUCUGACGCUGAGGAGCGAAAGCGUGGGGAGCGAACAGG